AACGCGAAGAACCUUACCUGGGUUAAAUCAUGGGUGUAAGGCCGAGAGAUCGGUCCCCCGGGCAACCGGCGCUUAUGAAGGUGCUGCAUGGCUGUCGUCAGCUCGUGUCGUGAGAUGUUGGGUUAAGUCCCGCAACGAGCGCAACCCUUACCACUAGUUGCCAGCAUUUAGUUGGGCACUCUAGCGGAACUGCCGGUGAUAAACCGGAGGAAGGUGGGGAUGACGUCAAGUCAUCAUGGCCUUUAUGUCCAGGGCCACACACGUGCUACAAUGGCCGGUACAAACCGCUGCAAACUCGCGAGAGGGAGCCAAUCGGAAAAAGCCGGUCUCAGUUCGGAUUGGAGUCUGCAACUCGACUCCAUGAAGUUGGAAUCGCUAGUAAUCGCGGAUCAGCACGCUGCGGUGAAUACGUUCCCGGGCCUUGUACACACCGUACGUC
rnacentral:rRNA from 1 species